CGGAGGGUGCAAGCGUUAUCCGGAUUCACUGGGUUUAAAGGGUGCGUAGGUGGGCAGGUAAGUCAGUGGUGAAAUCUCUGGGCUUAACUCAGAAACUGCCAUUGAUACUAUCUGUCUUGAAUACCGUGGAGGUCAGCGGAAUAUGUCAUGUAGCGGUGAAAUGCUUAGAUAUGACAUAGAACACCAAUUGUGAAGGCAGCUGGCUACACGAAUAUUGACACUGAUGCACGAAAGCGUGGGGAUCAAACAGGAUUAGAUACCCUGGUAGUCCACGCCCUAAACGAUGGAUACUCGACAUACGCGAUACACUGUGUGUGUCUGAGCGAAAGCAUUAAGUAUCCCACCUGGGAAGUACGAUCGACAAGAUUG
rnacentral:rRNA from 1 species